rnacentral:rRNA from 1 species
AGCGUACACGGUGGAUGCCCUGGCAGUCAGAGGCGAUGAAGGACGUGCUAAUCUGCGAAAAGCGUCGGUAAGGKGAUAUGAACCGUUAUAACCGGCGAUGUCCGAAUGGGGAAACCCAGUGCAAUUCGUUGCACUAUCGUUAACUGAAUACAUAGGUUAACGAGGCGAACCGGGGGAACUGAAACAUCUAAGUACCCCGAGGAAAAGAAAUCAACCGAGAUUCCCCCAGUAGCGGCGAGCGAACGGGGAGCAGCCCAGAGUCUGAAUCAGCUUGUGUGUUAGKGGAACGGUCUGGAAAGKCCGACGGUACAGGGUGAUAGUCCCGUACACCAAAAUGCACAGGCUGKGAACUCGAAGAGUAGGGCGGGACACGUGGUAUCCUGUCUGAAUAUGGGGGGACCAUCCUCCAAGGCUAAAUACUCCUGACUGACCGAUAGKGAACCAGUACCGUGAGGGAAAGGCGAAAAGAACCCCGGCGAGGGGAGUGAAAAAGAACCUGAAACCGKGUACGUACAAGCAGKGGGAGCACCUUCGGGUGUGACUGCGUACCUUUUGUAUAAUGGGUCAGCGACUUAUAUUCUGUAGCAAGGUUAACCGUAUAGGGGAGCCGCAGGGAAACCGAGUCUUAACUGGGCGUUAAGUUGCAGGGUAUAGACCCGAAACCCGGUGAUCUAGCCAUGGGCAGGUUGAAGGUUGGGUAACACUAACUGGAGGACCGAACCGACUAAUGUUGAAAAAUUAGCGGAUGACUUGUGGCUGGGGGUGAAAGGCCAAUCAAACCGGGAGAUAGCUGGUUCUCCCCGAAAGCUAUUUAGGUAGCGCCUCGUGAACUCAUCUUCGGGGGUAGAGCACUGUUUCGGCUAGGGGGUCAUCCCGACUUACCAACCCGAUGCAAACUACGAAUACCGAAGAAUGKUAUCACGGGAGACACACGGCGGGUGCUAACGUCCGUCGUGAAGAGGGAAACAAMCCAGACCGCCAGCUAAGGKCCCAAAGKCAUGGUUAAGUGGGAAACGAUGUGGGAAGGCACAGACAGCCAGGAUGUUGGCUUAGAAGCAGCCAUCAUUUAAAGAAAGCGUAAUAGCUCACUGGUCGAGUCGGCCUGCGCGGAAGAUGUAACGGGGCUAAACCAUGCACCGAAGCUGCGGCAGCGACACUAUGUGUUGUUGGGUAGGGGAGCGUUCUGUAAGCCUGCGAAGGKGUGCUGUGAGGCAUGCUGGAGGKAUCAGAAGKGCGAAUGCUGACAUAAGUAACGAUAAAGCGGGUGAAAAGCCCGCUCGCCGGAAGACCAAGGGUUCCUGUCCAACGUUAAUCGGGGCAGGGUGAGUCGACCCCUAAGGCGAGGCCGAAAGGCGUAGUCGAUGGGAAACAGGUUAAUAUUCCUGUACUUGGUGUUACUGCGAAGGGGGGACGGAGAAGGCUAUGUUAGCCGGGCGACGGUUGUCCCGGUUUAAGCAUGUAGGCUGGUUAUCCAGGCAAAUCCGGAUAAUCAAGGCUGAGGUGUGAUGACGAGGCACUACGGUGCUGAAGUAACAAAUGCCCUGCUUCCAGGAAAAGCCUCUAAGCAUCAGGUAACAUUAAAUCGUACCCCAAACCGACACAGGUGGUCAGGUAGAGAAUACCAAGGCGCUUGAGAGAACUCGGGUGAAGGAACUAGGCAAAAUGGUGCCGUAACUUCGGGAGAAGGCACGCUGGKGUGUAGGUGAAGUCCCUGCGGAUGGAGCUGAGACCAGUCGAAGAUACCAGCUGGCUGCAACUGUUUAUUAAAAACACAGCACUGUGCAAACACGAAAGUGGACGUAUACGGUGUGACGCCUGCCCGGKGCCGGAAGGUUAAUUGAUGGGGUUAUCCGUAAGGAGAAGCUCUUGAUCGAAGCCCCGGUAAACGGCGGCCGUAACUAUAACGGUCCUAAGGUAGCGAAAUUCCUUGUCGGGUAAGUUCCGACCUGCACGAAUGGCGUAAUGAUGGCCAGGCUGUCUCCACCCGAGACUCAGUGAAAUUGAACUCGCUGUGAAGAUGCAGKGUACCCGCGGCAAGACGGAAAGACCCCGUGAACCUUUACUAUAGCUUGACMCUGAACAUUGAGCCUUGAUGUGUAGGAUAGGUGGGAGGCUUUGAAGCGUGGACGCCAGUCUGCGUGGAGCCAACCUUGAAAUACCACCCKUUAAUGUUUGAUGUUCUAACGUUGGCCCCUGACCGGGGUUGCGGACAGUGKCUGGUGGGUAGUUUGACUGGGGCGGUCUCCUCCCAAAGCGUAACGGAGGAGCACGAAGGUUAGCUAAUCCUGGUCGGACAUCAGGAGGUUAGKGCAAUGGCAUAAGCUAGCUUGACUGCGAGCGKGACGGCGCGRGCAGGKGCGAAAGCAGGKCAUAGUGAUCCGGUGGKUCUGAAUGGAAGGGCCAUCGCUCAACGGAUAAAAGGUACUCCGGGGAUAACAGGCUGAUACCGCCCAAGAGUUCAUAUCGACGGCGGUGUUUGGCACCUCGAUGKCGGCUCAUCACAUCCUGGGGCUGAAGUAGGUCCCAAGGGUAUGGCUGKUCGCCAUUUAAAGUGGUACGCGAGCUGGGUUUAGAACGKCGUGAGACAGUUCGGUCCCUAUCUGCCGUGGGCGCUGGAGAAUUGAGGGGGGCUGCUCCUAGUACGAGAGGACCGGAGUGGACGCAUCACUGGUGUUCGGGUUGUCAUGCCAAUGGCACUGCCCGGUAGCUAAAUGCGGAAGAGAUAAGUGCUGAAAGCAUCUAAGCACGAAACUUGCCCCGAGAUGAGUUCU